UAGUUGGUGGCUCAGUGGUAGAGUUCAUGCUGUUGUAACUUGUAUGUAUGUAUGUAUGUAUGUAUGUAUGAUGUUCUAGGUUCAAUCCCCAGCUGGUUAA